rnacentral:rRNA from 1 species
GUGCCGGAGUAAACACAAUAAGUACCCCGCCUGGGGAGUACGGUCGCAAGACUGAAACUCAAAGGAAUUGACGGGGGCCCGCACAAGCGGUGGAGCAUGUGGUUUAAUUCGACGCAACGCGAAGAACCUUACCAAGACUUGACAUCCCCCUGACCGGACUUGUAAUGAGUCCUUUCCUACGGGACAGGGGAGACAGGUGGUGCAUGGUUGUCGUCAGCUCGUGUCGUGAGAUGUUGGGUUAAGUCCCGCAACGAGCGCAACCCCUGUUGCUAGUUGCCAGCAUUAAGUUGGGCACUCUAGUGAGACUGCCAGUGACAAACUGGAGGAAGGUGGGGAUGACGUCAAAUCAUCAUGCCCCUUAUGUCUUGGGCUACACACGUGCUACAAUGGGUGGUACAAAGGGAAGCGAAGCCGCGAGGUGGAGCGAAUCCCCCAAAGCCACUCCCAGUUCGGAUUGCAGGCUGCAACUCGCCUGCAUGAAGUCGGAAUCGCUAGUAAUCGCAGGUCAGCAUACUGCGGUGAAUACGUUCCCGGGCCUU